UGGCGAACGGGUGAGUAACGCGUGGGUAAUCUGCCCGAAAGACCGGGAUAACAGCUCGAAAGGGCUGCUAAUACCGGAUACCGACACGAAGCCGCAUGGUUUUGUGUUGAAAGGUUAAUUCCGCUUUCGGAUGAGCCCGCGUCCCAUUAGCUAGUUGGUGAGGUAACGGCUCACCAAGGCGACGAUGGGUAGCUGGUCUGAGAGGACGAUCAGCCACACUGGAACUGAGACACGGUCCAGACUCCUACGGGAGGCAGCAGUGGGGAAUCUUGCGCAAUGGGCGAAAGCCUGACGCAGCAACGCCGUGUGAACGAUGAAGGCCUUCGGGUCGUAAAGUUCUGUCAGGGGGGACGAAAUUUGACGGUACCCCCAGAGGAAGCCCCGGCUAACUACGUGCCAGCAGCCGCGGUAACACGUAGGGGGCGAGCGUUGUCCGGAAUUACUGGGCGUAAA
rnacentral:rRNA from 1 species